rnacentral:lncRNA from 1 species
AACACACCUGCAACAAAAUUGAGAGACAGGUGCAGAUGCCUGUUUAUGUUUUUAAAGACUGCAGAUGUGUCUAUGUGUGUACAUAGAACUGCUCAGGCAAGCUAAGAUGCAUGGAUUAAUUGAAACCUAUACUCUUCAAAAAGCCAUUUGAGAUGAACUUGGUUUGAUGUUAUAUUUAUAACCAACACUGUAGUGGUUGUUGGGGUUUUUUCUGCUUGGGAAAUUUCAGAUGUGGUAUUUAGCUUUGUUUGGAAUGAAGACAAGUUUUUUGGCACAGAAUAAUUUCCUGCAAAAGAAAAUUGGGACUCUCUAAGGCUUCAAAAGUCAUGUGAAUAGUUUUAUCCUGCUGGCCUAUUCUUGGUGUACUGUUUAUCUUCCUUCUCUGUGUGCUGUGCAUGGCAGGGCCUCAUCCUCUUGUGAUGCAUGUGUCAGGGGAGACUUCUGACUAGGCACUGCAGAUACUGUAUCAUUAAAAUUAAUAAACAGGAACAGUGGAGGUUCCUGGAGAGACUAUGAUAAACAUUUGACCAAACUUAUUUUGUUUUAAAUUGUGUAAUCCUUCAAAAAACAUUAUCUUCACAAUCUCAUCUCUCGUGCCUUUCUGUCAUGUCUUUGUCAUAUGCUGAGGUUACCCUCUCACUGAUUGAUGGCUCCUAAACCUGUCUUUCAGUGUCUCUCCCUAGCACGAACCUCUGGGUAUUCUCAGAGUAUGUAUGGGAGUACAGGCUUUGCUCUGCAAGUGUCAAGUCAUGUCAGGUUUUUCGAAGUUCUUCUCCACCCCAGCUUGGGCUAGCAUUCUCUCCCUGCUUCCACAUAUUCCCUCACCUGCUGGGAAGCCACAUGUAACAGUGUAUGAGCAAUCCUCCUGAUGACAUCCAGGCUCCCCUGCUGUACUCCAGACUUGGGAUCCUACAGUAAUUUAACAUCUUUGUUUCUAAGCUUAGUUUAGGAAAGAUUAAGCUGUUCUUUGUAUAAUGUGUGCUUACUGGAUCCAUGAGACUUAUUAAAAACAUAUGCAGAAAGUUCCCACCUCCCGUCUCCUCUCCUGGGGCUAAUGGUUGUGCUCUGUGGUAAGUUCAAUAUUUCAGAUGUUCUCCUGCAACAAACCCUAGUCACUCCCUCUUGGAACCUUCACUUGGAGCUUUCACCUUUCAGGUUUGUCCCCUAUUUUUGUUGGUAGUUACCACACUGGCUCCACCUGUUGAAAAUCCUAUGUAUGGGGAAGGGAAUCCUUUCAUGCUGUAGCCACUUUCCUAUACGUUCACCCGUUUUCUCCUCCUCAUUGUCCUCCUUUCACACCAACACUUUCUGCCUCUGAAACCUUCUGACCUGAGAGAAGCCAGAAGAAGGAAGUUACAACAGGAUAGCCACACUGGGAGAUUGAUAAUAGAUUGUAUCUGCCUUGGUUUUGAAGUCAAGACAGAAAAGCCAUUGCUGUGGUGAAGGAGUUUGUAAAAGCUAACAUUAUACACAUUUAUGGAGGUCCUCUUUCCAUGGGAAAAGUGUGGAUUUUCAAACUGCCUGAAACUGAGUCUCAGGAGAACCCAGUGGUAGGUGAGAGAAGGGCUGAUGUGGGCCAGAAAGAGGAGGGAGUAUAAAUCAUUCACCUCUGACUGAGGUUCCAAACAAACCUGAAGCUACAGCUGAGACCUUGGAGAAACCAGUCAAAUGUAUUGUUCCUUCUCCUGAGGGGGGGAAAAAAAGGUGAAAAAAAUCAAGGGGAGCAAAACAUUUCCUUUGCUUUGCAUAUUACAAAAAGCACCAAAUGUAGAAAAGAAGAGGAGCAAGUAGGCUGAUAAGAGAUUUCAUUUCAUUCCCCUCAGGGUGCCAACUUACCAGUGGUAACCUCGUGGUCUGCUGAUGUCAUUCACACAAAGCAGUUACUUCUAAAGAGACAGGUUUCCUCAGAUUUUACCAUCUGAGGGAAAAAUAGAGGAAAAAAUUGUUUGAAAGGGAAAAAAAUGUUAAGGUGUCUGUGUUUUACCAAAAGCCUUUGUAGGAGGUUAUUAACUUCAAAAGAAAACUAAAUUUAUCGUAACUUCUCUCCUCCCUCCCUGUGUUUCUGAAAAGAGCACUUGCUGUGAUUGUCUGAGCCAUUAAGGGCUCCUGGAAGGGCAACGAAGUCCUGUCCUCCCGUGUCUGUGUGCUUACUGAUUUAUAAACCUCUCUGUAGGUAGAAAGAAGAAGGUGAAAUUUCCCCUUUAGAGGCAGAUGGGCUCCAAAGACUAAAAUACAAUUAUUAUGCAGACUCUCAACAUGUAGAAAAUGGGAAUAAAAAUCUGUGUCUAAGAUCCA